rnacentral:rRNA from 1 species
UACAGAGGGUGCGAGCGUUAAUCGGAGUUACUGGGCGUAAAGCGCACGUAGGCGGCUUAGUAAGUCGGGUGUGAAAACCCCAGGCUCAACCUGGGGACGCCACCCGAUACUGCUAUAGCUAGAGUCCAGUAGGGGAGUGUGGAAUUCCCAGUGUAGCGGUGAAAUGACGCAGAUAUUGGGAGGAACACCAGCGGCGAAGGCGGCACUCUGGGCUGGUACUGACGCUGAGGAGGCGAA